GGGCGUGUGGCGCAGUUGGUAGCGCGUCUGCUUUGCAUGCAGAAGGUCAUUGGUUCGAAUCCGAUCUCGUCCA
rfam:Metschnikowia bicuspidata var. bicuspidata NRRL YB-4993 METBIscaffold_1, whole genome shotgun sequence.